UACGUAGGGACCGAGCGUUGUCCGGAUUCAUUGGGCGUAAAGAGCUCGUAGGCGGCCACUCAAGUCGAAUGUGAAACCUCGAGGCUUAACCUCGAGCCUGCAUUCGAUACUGGGCGGCUAGAGUCUGGUAGGGGGAUCUGGAAUUCCUGGUGUAGCGGUGGAAUGCGCAGAUAUCAGGAGGAACACCGGUGGCGAAGGCGGCAUCCUGGACCGACACUGACGCUGAGGAGCGAAAGCCAGGGGAGCAAACGGG
rnacentral:rRNA from 1 species